rnacentral:lncRNA from 1 species
GUAGUGGUUCUGCUGCCACCUAGUGAUGGCAUGGUGUAGUGGUUCUGCUGCCACCUAGUGGUGGCAUGGUGUAGUGGUUCUGCUGCCACCUAGUGAUGGCAUGGUGUAGUGGUUCUGCUGCCACCUAGUGGUGGCAUGGUGUGGCGAAGUGGUUCUGCUGCUACCUAGUGGUGGCAUGGUGUAGUGGUUCUGCUGCCACCUUGUGGUGGCGUGGCUCAAUGUUUUGAGUUCUGUCAUGAGAAUGGAGCAAGCACGUGAAAGUACAGCGUUUUCAUUUAAUUUGUUCCUAUAUGGGCCAAUGUGGCCUAGUUUAUCUGGUCAAAUUGAUUUCUUAUUUCUUUGUAAUGAAUCACUAUUGCUGUUUGCUAGAAAUGAUUUACUCUGAUUUAUGGGGGAAAUUAUGUUGCACUAACUCACUAAUGUACCAACUCUGUUCCAAUUCCACUUCUACUCAGACUAAUCGUUUGUUGAAGCAGUUUUUAGCAAGGACAAUUAUGUUAUUAACUGUUUUAUACAAAAUUGUAUGCACCCUGAUUUGUAAGGAUCUUUGGGAAUUCUUUAAACUCUAAGCAUGUCCUUAAAAAUGUGAAAAGUUUGCCAGUCUGUCAUUGGAAUACUGUGGCUCUACGUAGUUUGACAGUGAAUGAUGUCUUUUUUGGAAAACAGAAACUGGUUGUGAGAAGGAGCAUUACGUUUGAAUAUUCUUUCUUUAUUUAACAUGAUCAUCUUUCAAUCGAACAACCCUUUACUUUUAUAAUGCUUGUAAAUCUUUUUUUCACCCUGAAGCUGACUGAAUUGAAAGUAUUCGUGAGAAUAUGUUGAAAUAAUCUGGAACAAUCACAGAUAUGUACUUGAAUAAGCUAUAUGAAGGUAUUUUUAUUUAUUCUAAUUGCGUUAACAUUUUGUAUAAUUUGUAUAUUUCAAAUACGAUUUAGGUAUUUUCUCUCAAUUUCUAGUUGCCACAUCUGUUCCUAACGCCUUUCUCUGAUGUGGAACUAUUUCUCUUACAGCCUAAAGUAUGUAGCCUGGUCCAGCUCUGGUUGUGCUCUUGCCAACUCCAUUGCUAUAAUUGUCAAGACAAUCUGUUUGGCAUGGCAAUGAGUGGCAUGACAUGGUAGCACAAACAGAUCUGGCACGCAGGCUAGAAAGUAUGUCCUCCAUUUUGUUUUGUGGUAUUUUGACCAACAGGAAUAACUACUAUGUUUCCUGUGCAAUGAUGAUGUCUAUCUUUGUAACACAGCUGUCUCUUUUACUUGUCUCUGUCUUUUACCAUUAAAUAUAAAUGUGUGUUUCACGCAACAGAGAUGA